AGCAGCCGCGGUAAUUCCAGCUCCAAUAGCGUAUAUUAAAGUUGUUGCAGUUAAAAAGCUCGUAGUUGAAUUUUAGGCCUGGCCGGGCGGUCCGUCUUUGGCGAGUACUGUYCUGUGUCGGGUCCACCUUCUGGUGAACCAGUAUGUCCUUUAUUGGGUGUGCCGGGGAGCCAGGACCAUUACCUUGAAAAAAUUAGAGUGUUUAAAGCAGGCAUUUGCUUGAAUAGAUUAGCAUGGAAUAAUAGAAUAGGACGUUGUGGUUCUAUUUUGUUGGUUUCUAGGACCACCGUAAUGAUUAAUAGGGAUAGUUGGGGGCAUUAGUAUUCAAUUGUCAGAGGUGAAAUUCUUGGAUUUAUUGAAGACUAACUAUUGCGAAAGCAUUUGCCAAGGAUGUUUUCAUUAAUCAAGAACGAAAGUUAGGGGAUCGAAGACGAUCAGAUACCGUCGUAGUCUUAACCAUAAACUAUGCCGACUAGGGAUCGGA
rnacentral:rRNA from 1 species